AAGGAAUAUUGGACAAUGGGCGGAAGUCUGAUCCAGCCAUGCCGCGUGAAGGAAGAAGGCGCUCAGCGUUGUAAACUUCUUUUGAAUGGGAACAAUAACCUCCACGGGUUGGGGGCUUGAGGGUACCAUUAGAAUAAGCACCGGCUAACUCCGUGCCAGCAGCCGCGGUAAUACGGAGGGUGCAAGCGUUAUCCGGAAUCACUGGGUUUAAAGGGUGCGUAGGCGGUUCGGUAAGUCAGUUGUGAAAUCUCUUGGCUUAACCAAUGAAAUUGCGAUUGAUACUGUCGGACUUGAAUCAGGUUGAGGUAGGCGGAAUGUGGCAUGUAGCGGUGAAAUGCAUAGAUAUGCCAUAGAACACCGAUUGCGAAGGCAGCUUGCUGGACCUUGAUUGACGCUGAGGCACGAAAGCGUGGGGAGCAAAC
rnacentral:rRNA from 1 species